rnacentral:rRNA from 1 species
CCUACGGGAGGCAGCAGUCGAGCAUCAUUCACAAUGGGGGAAACCCUGAUGGUGCGACGCCGCGUGGGGGAAUGAAGGUCUUCGGAUUGUAAACCCCUGUCAUGUGGGAGCGAAUUAAAAAGAUAGUACCCCAAGAGGAAGAGACGGCUAACUCUGUGCCAGCAGCCGCGGUAAUACAGAGGUCUAAAGCGUUGUUCGGAAUCACUGGGGGGAAAGCGUGUGUAGACUGUUUCGUAAGUCGUGUGUGAAAGGCGCGGGCUCAACCCGCGGACGGCACAUGAUACUGCGAGACUAGAGUAAUGGAGGGGGAACCGGAAUGCUCGGUGUAGCAGUGAAAUGCGUAGAUAUCGAGAGGAACACUCGUGGCGAAGGCGGGUUCCUGGACAUUAACUGACGCUGAGGCACGAAGGCCAGGGGAGCGAAAGGGAUUAGAUACCCUAGUAGUC